UACGUAGGGGGCAAGCGUUGUCCGGAUUUAUUGGGCGUAAAGAGCGUGUAGGCGGCCAUACAGGUCAGCUGUGAAAACUCGAGGCUCAACCUCGAGACGUCGGUUGAAACCGUAUGGCUAGAGUCCGGAAGAGGAGAGUGGAAUUCCCGGUGUAGCGGCGAAAUGCGCAGAUAUCGGGAAGAACACCCGUGGCGAAGGCGGUGGGCUGGGCCGGAACUGACGCUGAGGAGCGAAAGCGUGGGGAGCGAACAGG
rnacentral:rRNA from 1 species